rnacentral:rRNA from 1 species
GGAGGGAGCUAGCGUUGUUCGGAAUUACUGGGCGUAAAGCGUACGUAGGCGGUUAUUCAAGUCAGAGGUGAAAGCCCGGGGCUCAACCCCGGAACGGCCUUUGAAACUAGGUAGCUAGAAUCUUGGAGAGGUCAGUGGAAUUCCGAGUGUAGAGGUGAAAUUCGUAGAUAUUCGGAAGAACACCAGUGGCGAAGGCGACUGACUGGACAAGUAUUGACGCUGAGGUACGAAAGCGUGGGGAGCAAACAGGAUUAGAUACCCUGGUAGUCCACGCCGUAAACGAUGAUAACUAGCUGUCCGGGCACUUGGUGCCUGGGUGGCGCAGCUAACGCAUUAAGUUAUCCGCCUGGGGAGUACGGUCGCAAGAUUA